UACGUAGGGCGCAAGCGUUAUCCGGAAUUAUUGGGCGUAAAGAGCUCGUAGGCGGUUUGUCGCGUCUGCCGUGAAAGUCCGGGGCUCAACCCCGGAUCUGCGGUGGGUACGGGCAGACUUGAGUGCAGUAGGGGAGACUGGAAUUCCUGGUGUAGCGGUGAAAUGCGCAGAUAUCAGGAGGAACACCGGUGGCGAAGGCGCGUCUCUGGGCAGUAACUGACGCUGAGACGCGAAAGCGUGGGGAGCGAACAGG
rnacentral:rRNA from 1 species